rnacentral:rRNA from 1 species
AUGGUUACGGGGGAGGAGCUUGAGCACACAGAGACAGAUUCAUCUACGUUGCCGGCGGCUGCGGCUGACGUGGUUACGACUCUAGCAACGGUGACAGUACUGGCAACAUCUGGAGCUUUAAAUCUCAGAGAGGGUACUUCUAACAAAGGGCCGGAGAAAGUGGAGGGAGAGAAACUCUCCAAGUGGGCAAUUAAGAAAAAGAAGUUGCCUUGCUUUAGAUGUGGCGAACCGGGUCACUUUAUGGCAGAGUGCACUAAUGAGUUUUGUGAUUAUUGCCUAAAAUCUCAGCACCUUACUGGAGAUUGCCCACUUCUAUCUGGUCCUAAACCUGGCAUUAGCAUCUUCGGUGUGUGUUGCAAGGAGCUGAUGUUUUUUGAGACGCCGGAAGUGGACUCGCUACCUCAGAUGGCUGAGAGUUCCUUUCCCGCAGUUGUCCGGGUGACUAAUGGUCAGUUGUCCGAGGCUCAGAUUGUGAGAUAG